rnacentral:rRNA from 1 species
UUAAGUUAUUAAGGGCGCACGGUGGAUGCCUUGGCACUAGAAGCCGAUGAAGGACGUUACUAACGACGAUAUGCUUUGGGGAGCUGUAAGUAAGCUUUGAUCCAGAGAUUUCCGAAUGGGGAAACCCAGCAUGAGUUAUGUCAUGUUAUCGAUAUGUGAAUACAUAGCAUGUCAGAAGGCACACCCGGAGAACUGAAACAUCUUAGUACCCGGAGGAAGAGAAAGAAAAUUCGAUUCCCUUAGUAGCGGCGAGCGAAACGGGAAGAGCCCAAACCAACAAGCUUGCUUGUUGGGGUUGUAGGACACUCUAUACGGAGUUACAAAGGACGACAUUAGACGAAUCAUCUGGAAAGAUGAAUCAAAGAAGGUAAUAAUCCUGUAGUCGAAAAUGUUGUCUCUCUUGAGUGGAUCCUGAGUACGACGGAGCACGUGAAAUUCCGUCGGAAUCUGGGAGGACCAUCUCCUAAGGCUAAAUACUCUCUAGUGACCGAUAGUGAACCAGUACCGUGAGGGAAAGGUGAAAAGCACCCCGGAAGGGGAGUGAAAUAGAACCUGAAACCGUGUGCUUACAAGUAGUCAGAGCCCGUUAAUGGGUGAUGGCGUGCCUUUUGUAGAAUGAACCGGCGAGUUACGAUUUGAUGCAAGGUUAAGCAGUAAAUGUGGAGCCGUAGCGAAAGCGAGUCUGAAUAGGGCGUUUAGUAUUUGGUCGUAGACCCGAAACCAGGUGAUCUACCCUUGGUCAGGUUGAAGUUCAGGUAACACUGAAUGGAGGACCGAACCGACUUACGUUGAAAAGUGAGCGGAUGAACUGAGGGUAGCGGAGAAAUUCCAAUCGAACCUGGAGAUAGCUGGUUCUCUCCGAAAUAGCUUUAGGGCUAGCCUCAAGUGAUGAUUAUUGGAGGUAGAGCACUGUUUGGACGAGGGGCCCCUCUCGGGUUACCGAAUUCAGACAAACUCCGAAUGCCAAUUAAUUUAACUUGGGAGUCAGAACAUGGGUGAUAAGGUCCGUGUUCGAAAGGGAAACAGCCCAGACCACCAGCUAAGGUCCCAAAAUAUAUGUUAAGUGGAAAAGGAUGUGGCGUUGCCCAGACAACUAGGAUGUUGGCUUAGAAGCAGCCAUCAUUUAAAGAGUGCGUAAUAGCUCACUAGUCGAGUGACACUGCGCCGAAAAUGUACCGGGGCUAAACAUAUUACCGAAGCUGUGGAUUGUCCUUUGGACAAUGGUAGGAGAGCGUUCUAAGGGCGUUGAAGCAUGAUCGUAAGGACAUGUGGAGCGCUUAGAAGUGAGAAUGCCGGUGUGAGUAGCGAAAGACGGGUGAGAAUCCCGUCCACCGAUUGACUAAGGUUUCCAGAGGAAGGCUCGUCCGCUCUGGGUUAGUCGGGUCCUAAGCUGAGGCCGACAGGCGUAGGCGAUGGAUAACAGGUUGAUAUUCCUGUACCACCUAUAAUCGUUUUAAUCGAUGGGGGGGACGCAGUAGGAUAGGCGAAGCGUGCGAUUGGAUUGCACGUCUAAGCAGUAAGGCUGAGUAUUAGGCAAAUCCGGUACUCGUUAAGGCUGAGCUGUGAUGGGGAGAAGACAUUGUGUCUUCGAGUCGUUGAUUUCACACUGCCGAGAAAAGCCUCUAGAUAGAAAAUAGGUGCCCGUACCGCAAACCGACACAGGUAGUCAAGAUGAGAAUUCUAAGGUGAGCGAGCGAACUCUCGUUAAGGAACUCGGCAAAAUGACCCCGUAACUUCGGGAGAAGGGGUGCUCUUUAGGGUUAACGCCCAGAAGAGCCGCAGUGAAUAGGCCCAAGCGACUGUUUAUCAAAAACACAGGUCUCUGCUAAACCGUAAGGUGAUGUAUAGGGGCUGACGCCUGCCCGGUGCUGGAAGGUUAAGAGGAGUGGUUAGCUUCUGCGAAGCUACGAAUCGAAGCCCCAGUAAACGGCGGCCGUAACUAUAACGGUCCUAAGGUAGCGAAAUUCCUUGUCGGGUAAGUUCCGACCCGCACGAAAGGCGUAACGAUUUGGGCACUGUCUCAACGAGAGACCCGGUGAAAUCAUAGUACCUGUGAAGAUGCAGGUUACCCGCGACAGGACGGAAAGACCCCGUGGAGCUUUACUGUAGCCUGAUAUUGAAAUUCGGCACAGCUUGUACAGGAUAGGUAGGAGCCUUUGAAACGUGAGCGCUAGCUUACGUGGAGGCGCUGGUGGGAUACUACCCUAGCUGUGUUGGCUUUCUAACCCGCACCACUUAUCGUGGUGGGAGACAGUGUCAGGCGGGCAGUUUGACUGGGGCGGUCGCCUCCUAAAAGGUAACGGAGGCGCUCAAAGGUUCCCUCAGAAUGGUUGGAAAUCAUUCAUAGAGUGUAAAGGCAUAAGGGAGCUUGACUGCGAGACCUACAAGUCGAGCAGGGUCGAAAGACGGACUUAGUGAUCCGGUGGUUCCGCAUGGAAGGGCCAUCGCUCAACGGAUAAAAGCUACCCCGGGGAUAACAGGCUUAUCUCCCCCAAGAGUUCACAUCGACGGGGAGGUUUGGCACCUCGAUGUCGGCUCAUCGCAUCCUGGGGCUGUAGUCGGUCCCAAGGGUUGGGCUGUUCGCCCAUUAAAGCGGUACGCGAGCUGGGUUCAGAACGUCGUGAGACAGUUCGGUCCCUAUCCGUCGUGGGCGUAGGAAAUUUGAGAGGAGCUGUCCUUAGUACGAGAGGACCGGGAUGGACAUACCUCUGGUGUACCAGUUGUCGUGCCAACGGCAUAGCUGGGUAGCUAUGUGUGGACGGGAUAAGUGCUGAAAGCAUCUAAGCAUGAAGCCCCCCUCAAGAUGAGAUUUCCCAACUUCGGUUAUAAGAUCCCUCAAAGAUGAUGAGGUUAAUAGGUUCGAGGUGGAAGCAUGGUGACAUGUGGAGCUGACGAAUACUAAUCGAUCGAAGACUUAAUCAA